rnacentral:rRNA from 1 species
AGCCCUAAGCGGGUGGUAAACUCCAUCUAAGGCUAAAUAUGACCACGAGACCGAUAGCGAACAAGUACCGUGAGGGAAAGUUGAAAAGCACUUUGAAGAGAGAGUUCAAGAGUACGUGAAACCGUUUAGGGGUAAACCUGAGAAACCCGAAAGGUCGAAGGGAGAAAUUCAUUCGCGUUUCGAUGCAGGCGUCGAACGUUCGCGUGACGGAAUUCCCUCGUUGGAUAUUCCGCACCUUUCGUUCUUCGAACCGGCGGCGAACGCGUGCACUUUUCUCCUGGUAGGACGUCGCGAUCCGUUGGGUGUCGGUCUACGGCUCGCGGAGGAGCCCGUUCGUCAUUCUCACGAAUGCACGGACGGACCCGCGUGUCCCGGCCGACUCGCUCGACGGUAUACGAAAGGUUUAAGGCCGCUCUCUUUCGGAGGAGCGUUCGGCUCGUGGCAAGCGCGCCAUAUGCGUCGGCGAUCGGACCUCGUGCCGAUUCUGACCUCUGGUGACUGUUGGCUACGAAGUUCUCGAACAGACCUUUAACCGAUCCGCGACGCUAUAGCUUUGGGUACUUUCAG